CGGGCUCCGGAGGGGAGGGGCUGCCGCGCCGGGCGAGGCCCAGGGCUCCCGGCCCGCUGCGGCGCCCGUGGUUGCAGCAGCAUAUCUCAGGCGGCUGCUAUGCCUGCCAGGCAAGGAUGGCCCCUGAAACAUAAGGGGAAACACAGCUGAAUAUUUAGCGAGGGACCACCACCACCGUAAAAACACACAGCUCAAUGUAAAGAAGCCAGUUUGACAUGAUUCUGGAUAUGUACAGCUGAGGGUGAGGGGCAAUGACUGGCAACUCCCAUCUCUUUGCAAAUAAGUGAUAUUCUCUGGAGGUUUCCCUGGAAAGGACGAGCAUGUUUGAGAGAGAUGGUGUGCCAGCAAGAGCUCUGGAGUCACCAUGUUAUACUGAAUUCAGCAGUGUGACAAAAAGUGGCGUCAACAGACUUGACUAUGUGACUGGCUUGGAACAGUGUCCUUAGCCUCAGGGUUUUGGACUUCUCUCUGACUUUAGAUGUGUAAACCUUUACAAGGUAUCAUUUGGUGUACAAACUUCUAAAGAAUGUACAAAAUUUAUAUAUUUAUAAUUUUUUUAAAUAUUUACUUAGAGACAGAGCAUGAGUGGGACAGGGUUGGAGAGAGAGAAGACAGAAUCUGAAGUAGGGUCCAGGCUCCAAGCUGUCAGCACAAACCCCAAUGGAGGGCUCAAACUCAUGAACCAUGAGAUUAUGACCUGAGCCUAGGUUGGAUGCUUAACCGACCAUCUAGGCCCUUCACAAAAUUUAUAUUUUAAUAACUCUAUAUAGAAGCUCUAGAAUGGCUGUGUAAAAGCAGCUAGUCUGUUUUUAGAGACCUUUCCUAGAGAUAUUAAAUAAUAGUGAGGAAAACUUAAUAAUGGUAAAACUUUUUGAGAAAUUUAAAAAUUAGCAAAUAAUAUUUGAUAUUUUUUCUAAUUAUGAGACUGACGCGCUGCCUACUGCACUAAGAAGGCACCUGAUAUUUUUUCUAAUUAUGGAUUCAUCUAACAAUUAAUUCCUGAGUACCCACUAUACAGCAAACACUCUUCUAGAUGCUAAGGUGACAACAGGUGAUACAGACAGAAUUGUGCCCCCCCCCCCGCAAUUCAUAUGUUGAAGACCUAGCCCCCAAAUGAUGUUUUUUGGAGAUGGGAACUUUGGAAAGUAGUUAGGGUUAGAUAUGGUCAUGAGAGGGGGACCCUCAU
rnacentral:lncRNA from 1 species